GGAAUAUUGGUCAAUGGGCGAGAGCCUGAACCAGCCAAGUAGCGUGAAGGAAGACUGCCCUAUGGGUUGUAAACUUCUUUUGUAUGGGAAUAAAGUCCACUACGUGUAGUGGUUUGUAUGUACCUUACGAAUAAGCAUCGGCUAAUUCCGUGCCAGCAGCCGCGGUAAUACGGAAGAUGCGAGCGUUAUCCGGAUUUAUUGGGUUUAAAGGGAGCGUAGGCGGGCCUUUAAGUCAGCGGUUAAAUGUCAGUGCCCAACGUUGGCAUGCCGUUGAUACUGGAGGUCUUGAAUACACACAAGGAUGGUGGAAUUCGUCGUGUAGCGGUGAAAUGCUUAGAUAUGACGAAGAACUCCGAUUGCGAAGGCAGCCAUCUGGGGUGCGAUUGACGCUGAGGCUCGAAAGUGCGGGUAUCAAACA
rnacentral:rRNA from 1 species